UACGUAGGGUGCAAGCGUUGUCCGGAAUUAUUGGGCGUAAAGAGCUCGUAGGCGGUCUGUCACGUCGGCUGUGAAAACCCGAGGCUCAACCUCGGGCCUGCAGUCGAUACGGGCAAACUAGAGUACUGCAGGGGAGACUGGAAUUCCUGGUGUAGCGGUGAAAUGCGCAGAUAUCAGGAGGAACACCGGUGGCGAAGGCGGGUCUCUGGGCCGAUACUGACGCUGAGGAGCGAAAGCGUGGGGAGCAAACAGG
rnacentral:rRNA from 1 species